GCAUACAUCUAGUUUUAAGUAUCUUGACCACUGUGAAAAAUAUCGUGAUUAUUUUUUUUAUUUAAGUUAUAUUGGGCGCGAAGUUAGCUUUUGCAGUAUGUCUUAUAUAAGUGAUUAUGUAGGUGGUUUGAUGGAAUCCCUCCUAGCCCAUAUCUAUGCGAGCGGAAAAACGUCGGCGUAAUUCUGUUCAAAUAACGAUACUAAUAUGAAGGUUAACUCUUGCAGGAAUAUCAAAUCAGGACACAGUAUGACCAGCAUCCCAUCGCAGUCUCCAUUUGGGCUCUGAACAGCUCAGAGGGCUGUUUCAGGUGUUUCCUUCGCGAUUCCGCAAAGGCCUUAUUGACAGCACGAGUGAAUGAGUAAGCAUUGUCAUAUUGAGGCUUGUUGAAGGUUCGCUUGACGAUGCUCGAUGCGUAGGAAUUCAACGUGUUCCAGUCUGGAUAAAAUAAACUUAUAUUCUCAAGCAACACUAGUUGGCUUGUGUGUGCCGAUGACCGGACAAGCACAGAGCAGAAUUUCGAAAUCCGCCGGCGUCAUUUUGGCCGCAAAACAGAACAAGCCGAACUCGACUUUUGUCAAUACGUCAUGUUUAAAGCUAUUUACUAAAUGGAAAAAAAAAAAAGUGGUCAAGACACCUUCAUAUACAAUUUCGUCAUUUCUCGCUCGGAUCGCUUCUUCUAAUGCACCAAUAAAAAGUCGCGACUCAAAUAAUAAUAUAAGUAACCGAUUUCUCAAGGCGAUUUGGGCUGGGCGUGACUACAAAUGCACGCAACAAGAUCCAUCUUAAACGAGAAGUGCUCGCAUAAUUGUCAUCUUGCUCAAAACUGUCGGCUUUCCGGCAAUGGACUUAGCGUUACCGUGUGGUGAGCCAUUCACGAUAGACCACGCUACGAUCUGGGAGAUCGUUUAGGGAGACUUAAAGAGAAACCUCGAAUUUGCGUAUAAUAGUGUACAAAUUCGAAAUUAACUAACUGUUUACGAUCAGCUACGAGCAGUAGACGCGGAUAAGUUCGUUGUUUUUUCGGCAAUUCGACUAUAUAUAGUGGAAGUAAACGCCGGAACCUAAUGUGGAUGUGCAUGAUACCAAGUCAGCUGGUUGAGGCGGCACGACGUACUCUGUCGUCAGCAGGCCCAAUCGGAUUACAUAGCAAAAUGCUAAGGUCGUGCGGAGAAAACGAAAAACAGUCACGGAAAGAACACACAUAGUCGAUUUAGAACUUCUCGGAAGCUUGCCAUUUAUUUGAAUGGCAACAUUAGCCUGAUUUUGUAUAGAGCUGCAUUCGGAUCUUUGCUAUAAGGUAGCUGCAGUAUUUCUUCUAUGAAUAUGCUUGAAAACGAGUACUAAUGCUAACGAAUAUUGGCAUACUGUGGCUGACAUGAU